AUGCAUGACAUUUCCAAGGGUGACCUAUCAGCGAUGCAGAUUGCAAUGAGAUCAGGUGCAUGGAGAGCCCCCCCUUGAGCUUACGCUACUUUUCUUUUUCCUGGCCAUUGAAAAAAGAGAGGAGGAGAGAGCCAGUCCCAGAGCUUGAAGAGAACCAAACCAUGCUUUGCUGGGCUACACGCCUUCUGUUCUCGGAGCUGCGGCCCGUUUCUUUCCCAUCUUUCCACAAAAUGAGGCCCAAGAGGACGCUUUCACCAUCAGAAUCAGAAAACACUGCUUCCGAUUCGCCAAUCAGAAUACAUACAGAUACAGCAGCGCUUGUCGACGACAAGGACCGCUUGAGUUAAGAGGUGGCGGUAGAGAGAGACGGUUGGCUCAGGAAAGCUCCUGCGUGCACCGCCGACGCAGCAGCGGGAGUGGUUGCAAAGAGAGAUCAUUACCUGAUAGAUCAGUAAUAGAAAACUAAACAUAGAUCUAUAUUCUAUCAUGUUUGUUUUGGUCUGGUGCUCUGCUACUUAUUAAUGCAAAUUAUCUGAUCUCGUCCAUCUCCACACACACCCAUCACCUCCAAGUUCCGAUUCAACAAGUAUUCUAUCAACCGUGUUGAGAGGGUAAUUACACGGAAUAAAUCUUAAACAAGUAUUGUAACACCGCCUAUUCAAUGAUUGAUUUGUUUCAUUGAUUUAAAUAUGCAGCUUGUGGUAUUAUCUAAUCUAUAUUGUAUUUGCAGACCAGCUUUUUUCCAGGUCUCCUCUUAAACUGUUCUAUGUGUGAAGCAGCACUUGUUAAUUGUGUUUUUUAGGUUCAAAUUUCUCUUACUUGUCAAUGACUCCUCCUAACAUUUUAUGUUUUUCUAAA